AAAGUAUGUUUAGGGCGAACACCAAAAUAGCAGUGUAAAUAAAUUUAAGCGAUGAAGACAUCGGGCUGGAUUAGAAAACGAUAUAAUGGCAAAAUAUAGCCGCUUGCUGUUUGCUUAUACUCGUCUCAGUUUUUUGUCUCAUAUGCUUUGACAAUGACCAGGUGUCAUGUUGGAUGCUACUAAUUGGUUAUGAGCCAUACAUAGACAAAGCAGCGGCUGUUUGGACGCUUUCUAAACAGCUACCUCAUUGGGCGAGACAAGUUAAUUUGGGUUACGUGAGGCAUGCUAGAAAAAGUGAACUUGUUCCCAAUGCUUUUGUUUUACUGGCAGACAUUCUACACAAACUUGCCCAAAGGCGGAAGGAAGGCACGCACAGAUGGACACAUAGAAAUUAUGGGGCUGCCAUAGCUGUGAAUGAGUAUUAACCUACGUACAGAAAGGAGCGAAGUGGAGCUGUCCAUGGGCCGUGCACACAGUUUCAUAUGCGGGCUUGCAACACCUUUGACAAUUAUGUUCCUGAAUACAUCUGCCAAAGGGGCAUUUAAAGAA
rnacentral:lncRNA from 1 species